rnacentral:rRNA from 1 species
CGGAUCCUACGGGGGGCAGCAGUGAGGAAUAUUGGUCAAUGGACGCAAGUCUGAACCAGCCAUGCCGCGUGCAGGAAGACGGCUCUAUGAGUUGUAAACUGCUUUUGUACGAGGGUAAACGCAGAUACGUGUAUCUGUCUGAAAGUAUCGUACGAAUAAGGAUCGGCUAACUCCGUGCCAGCAGCCGCGGUAAUACGGAGGAUUCAAGCGUUAUCCGGAUUUAUUGGGUUUAAAGGGCGUGUAGGCGGGAGCGCAAGUCAGAUGUGAAAACUCAGGGCUCAACCCUGAGCCUGCAUUUGAAACUG